GACGAACGCUGGCGGUGUGCCUAAUACAUGCGAGUCGAGCGGACCAAUAGAAGCUUGCUUCUGUUGGUUAGCGGCGGACGGGUGAGUAACACGUGGGCAACCUGCCUGUAAGACUGGGAUAACUUCGGGAAACCGGAGCUAAUACCGGAUAAUUCAUCCCCUCGCAUGAGGGGAUGCUGAAAGUCGGUUUACGCUGACACUUACAGAUGGGCCCGCGGCGCAUUAGCUAGGUGGUGAGGUAAUGGCUCACCAAGGCGACGAUGCGUAGCCGACCUGAGAGGGUGAUCGGCCACACUGGGACUGAGACACGGCCCAGACUCCUACGGGAGGCAGCAGUAGGGAAUCUUCCACAAUGGACGAAAGUCUGAUGGAGCAACGCCGCGUGAGCGAUGAAGGCCUUCGGGUCGUAAAGCUCUGUUGUUAGGGAAGAACAAGUAUCGGAGUAACUGCCGGUACCUUGACGGUACCUAACCAGAAAGCCACGGCUAACUACGUGCCAGCCGCCGCAGUAAAAC
rnacentral:rRNA from 1 species